rnacentral:rRNA from 1 species
AACGAACGCUGGCGGCAUGCCUAACACAUGCAAGUCGAACGAGACCUUCGGGUCUAGUGGCGCACGGGUGCGUAACGCGUGGGAACCUGCCCUUAGGUUCGGAAUAACUCCCCGAAAGGGGUGCUAAUACCGGAUAAUGUCUUCGGACCAAAGAUUUAUCGCCUUUGGGUGGGCCCGCGUUGGAUUAGCUAGUUGGUAGGGUAAAAGCCUACCAAGGCGACGAUCCAUAGCUGGUCUGAGAGGAUGAUCAGCCACACUGGGACUGAGACACGGCCCAGACUCCUACGGGAGGCAGCAGUGGGGAAUAUUGGGCAAUGGGCGAAAGCCUGGUCCAGCAAUGCCGCGUGAGUGAUGAAGGCCUUAGGGUUGUAAAGCUCUUUUACCCGGGGUGAUAAUGACAGUACCGGGAAAAUAAGCUCCGGCUAACUCCGUG